CAGAGCUGACUGAGCAGGAUCCGGAGUACCACGAGACACGAGGAACCUUGUGGGAAGUAAGGGGGACCACCCCCUAAGGCUAAAUACUACUUAGUGACCGAUAGCGCAUAGUACUGUGAAGGAAAGGUGAAAAGGACCCCGGGAGGGGAGUGAAAGAGAACCUGAAACCCUGUGUCUACAAGCUGUGGGAGUGCCAUAUGAGCACGACCGCGUACUUUUUGUAGAACGGUCCGGCGAGUUACGCUUACUGGCAAGGUUAAGCACUUCAGGUGUGGAGCCGUAGGGAAACCAAGUCUUAAGAGGGCCAGAGUCAGUAGGAGUAGACCCGAAACCGGGUGAUCUAUCCAUGUCCAGGUUGAAGCUGCCGUAAGAGGUAGUGGAGGACCGAACCCACAUCCGUUGAAAAGGGUGGGGAUGAGGUGUGGAUAGGGGAGAAAUUCCAAUCGAACCCGGAGAUAGCUGGUUCUCCUCGAAAUAGCUUUAGGGCUAGCCUCGGUGUGAGUCUUGCGGAGGUAGAGCACUGAAUUUCCUAGGGGGCGUCAAAGCCUACCGAAGAAUAUCAAACUCCGAAUGCCGUGUAGAUAUCACCGGGAGUCAGACUGCACGAGAUAAGUUGGGCGGUCAAAAGGGAAAGAGCCCAGACCUACAGUUAAGGUCCCAAAGUGCGCGUUAAGUGGAAAAGGAUGUGGGAUUUCGAAGACAACCAGGAUGUUGGCUCAGAAGCAGCCAUACAUUCAAAGAGUGCGUAAUAGCUCACUGGUCGAGAGGUCCUGCGCCGAAAAUGUCCGGGGCUGAAACGCGCCACCGAAACUAAGGAAUCUGAAAAGAUUGGUAGAGGAGCAUUGCAUGCGGGAAGAAGCAGUACCGGAAGGAGCUGUGGACUGCAUGGAAGAGAGAAUGCCGGAAUGAGUAGCGAGAUAGAGGUGGGAAUCCUCUAGGCCGAAUAUCCAAGGUUUCCAGGGUAAAGCUGAUCUGCCCUGGGUGAGUCGGGACCUAAGGUGAGGGCGAGAGCCGUAGCCGAUGGACAACAGGUUGAUAUUCCUGUACUGCAGUAUGACAGAACUGUGGGGACACGUAAGGAGAGCGGGAGCCGGGAAUGGAAAGCCCGGUACAAGCGAGGUACCAGUAUGGUAGGAAAAUCCGCCAUGCAAUGGGAAGACGUGAUGUGGAGUGAAUUUUAGUAACGAAGCCCGUGAGCCAUGCGUCAAGAAAAGCCGCUAUCGUUCAUAUUGUACCCGUACCGUAAACCGACACAGGUGGAUGAGGAGAGAAUCCUAAGGCCGGCGGAAGAAGUAUUGCCAAGGAACUCGGCAAAAUGGCCCCGUAACUUAGGGAGAAGGGGUGCCUGCGAGAGCAGGCCGCAGAGAAUAGGCUCAAGCAACUGUUUAGCAAAAACACAGGUCUAUGCGAAACCGAAAGGUGAGGUAUAUGGGCUGACGCCUGCCCGGUGCUGGAAGGUUAAGAGGAGAGGUUAGCGGUAACGCGAAGCUUUGAAUUUAAGCCCCAGUAAACGGCGGCCGUAACUAUAACGGUCCUAAGGUAGCGAAAUUCCUUGUCGGGUAAGUUCCGACCCGCACGAAAGGCGUAAUGAUUUGAGCGCUGUCUCGGCAAUACAUCCGGUGAAAUUGAAGUGCCAGUGAAGAUGCUGGCUACCCGCGCCAGGACGGAAAGACCCCAUGGAGCUUUACUCCAGUUUGGCACUGGGGUCCGGUGUUGCAUGUACAGGAUAGGUGGGAGGCUGAGAAACGGUA
rnacentral:rRNA from 1 species